AGGUAGUAAAUAAAUCAAACCUAUUUAUUACGGCGGCUAAUAUUCUAUUAGAGGAACUUGUUUAAUAAUCGAUAUGCCCCGAUAAUUUUCACUUUAUAUAAAAGCUUAUAUACCUCCAUCUAAAGAAUUUAUUAUAAAAUUUUCUCUAAACAAUAAAUAAAAAGUUAGGUCAAGGUGUAGCUAAUAAUAAAGAUUAAAAUGAGUUACAUUAAAUUUUAUUUAAGGAAAAAGAAAGAAAUUUUUUUUAAAAGAGGAUUUAUAAGUAAUAAUAUAUUAACAAUAUUAAUAUAUGAAUUUUAAAAUAAUAGUGU
rnacentral:rRNA from 1 species